CCUACGGGGGGCAGCAGUGAGGAAUAUUGGUCAAUGGGCGAGAGCCUGAACCAGCCAAGUCGCGUGAAGGAUGACGGCCCUACGGGUUGUAAACUUCUUUUGUCAGGGAGCAAUUGGGUCCACUCGUGGGCUUAGCGAGAGUACCUGAAGAAAAAGCACCGGCUAACUCCGUGCCAGCAGCCGCGGUAAUACGAAGGAUGCGAGCGUUAUCGGGAUUGAUUGGGUUUAAAGGGUGCGAAGGCGGAAUAUCAAGUCAGCGGGAAAAAUUCGGGGCUCAACCCCGUCGUGCCGUUGAAACUGGUGGUCUAGAGUGGGCGAGAGGGAUGCGGAAUGCGUGGUGUAGCGGGGAAAUGCAUAGAGAUCACGAAGAACACAGAUUGCGAAGGCAGCAUCCCGGCGACCAACUGACGCUGAAGCACGAAAGCGUGGGUAUCGAACAGGAUUAGAUACCCUGGUAGUC
rnacentral:rRNA from 1 species